rnacentral:rRNA from 1 species
CCAAUAGCGUAUAUUAAAGUUGUUGCAGUUAAAAAGCUCGUAGUUGAAUUUCGGGAUCAAUAUAUCGGUCGUGCCUUUGGUACGUACUGGUAUCAUUGAUUUCUCCUUUCUUACGAAUCAUGAUGUCAUUAAUUUGGUGUUAUGAGGAGUUAGGACUGUUACUUUGAAAAAAUUAGAGUGUUUAAAGCAGGCAUUAGCUUGAAUACAUUAGCAUGGAAUAAUGAAAUAGGACGUUUGACCCUAUUUUGUUGGUUUUUAGGAUCGACGUAAUGAUUAAUAGGGAUAGUUGGGGGCAUUAGUAUUCAAUUGUCAGAGGUGAAAUUCUUGGAUUUAUUGAAGACUAACUACUGCGAAAGCAUUUGCCAAGGAUGUUUUCAUUAAUCAAGAACGAAAGUUAGGGGAUCGAAGACGAUCAGAUACCGUCGUAGUCUUAACCAUAAACUAUGCCGACUAGGGAUCGGAUGAUGUUAAUUUUAUAAUGACUCAUUCGGCGCCUUACG